ACCUGGGUGGCUCAGUUGGUUGAGUAUCUGACUUCAGCUCAGGUCAUGUUCUCGCGGUUUGUGGGUUCAAGCCCCAUGUCGGGCU
rnacentral:tRNA from 1 species